rnacentral:rRNA from 1 species
AUGUACGGACGCAUGGACACUGAUCCGACCGGUCUACACGGCGCGAGGACGACGAUCGUGGCGAGCAGCUGCGAAGGGGACGCACCUCCGAUCGCGGGAGGGCGUAGAUCUCGCGGCGAUUUCCAUCACGUACGAGAUCGUACGCGGAUCUCCCGACGGCGCAACCAGCAACUCCUUCGAAUCAGCAGUUCAGCACGGAGUUACCCAUCGCCAAACGCCAGCAGCCGCAUCGACUUGUACGCGGAACAAGGCCAUGCGCACAUGCAUACGUGCAUGGCAAAACUCGCAAAGACCGCCAUGCGUACGCGCAUGGCAUGGUGCCUUGAACUUGAGCCACGGGCCUUCUGCAAGGAUCAAAAGGCAACGACGCGUGGGCCUCUGCGAUCUACGGGUGGGAACAACCAUCAUCGUGAUCCGAUCUGGCCGACGACCACAGCAGUCUCGGUGUGUCGGACACCGGGAGAGCCCGUUCGAGACACGCGCACGGACGCGAUCUUCAGCAAGCCGACUCCAUCAACCUCCUGCGCGCCGGCUUGCCAUCUACAUCAAGCUGUACGAUCUACACCGGCCGCCAUGUCCGGAGCCGAGCUACAUCAUCUUCUGCAUGGCUGCAUCGACCGCCACAGUCGAUCUGCACGGCUUGCCAUCUACAUCAAGCUGUACGAUCUACACCGGCCGCCACGUCCGGAGCCGAGCUACAUCAUCUUCUGCAUGGCUGCAUCGACCGCCACAGUCGAUCUGCACGGCUACACCCACGCCUCUGCAUUGAGCCGAGCGACAUCAAGUUGUAUGACUACGCCAGGCUACGAGCCAACAUACUUCUUCGACACGACACGACAUCGACACUUCGUCGCCACGAGGGACGCCUUCAAGCGACUCAUCAUUGUCGACACGCCACGGCAACGCCAUCACAGGCACUUCAUCGUCAAGGUCUUCAUCAACGUGGUCUUCACCAAUAUCUUCAUCAACACACCACCACUGCCGCCUCGUCCACAAGAUGGACACCUAGCGUCCUCUGACAGACUUUUCUGCAAGACGCGACCUCGACGACGGCAAUGA